rnacentral:rRNA from 1 species
AUUGAACGCUGGCGGCAUGCCUUACACAUGCAAGUCGAACGGCAGCACGGGGAGCAAUCCUGGUGGCGAGUGGCGAACGGGUGAGUAAUGUAUCGGAACGUGCCCAGUCGUGGGGGAUAACGUAGCGAAAGCUACGCUAAUACCGCAUACGAUCUAUGGAUGAAAGCGGGGGAUCGCAAGACCUCGCGCGAUUGGAGCGGCCGAUAUCAGAUUAGGUAGUUGGUGGGGUAAAGGCCCACCAAGCCGACGAUCUGUAGCUGGUCUGAGAGGACGACCAGCCACACUGGGACUGAGACACGGCCCAGACUCCUACGGGAGGCUG